rnacentral:rRNA from 1 species
ACGGGAGCAAUCCUGGUGGCGAGUGGCGAACGGGUGAGUAAUAUAUCGGAACGUGCCCAGUCGUGGGGGAUAACGCAGCGAAAGCUGUGCUAAUACCGCAUACGAUCUCUGGAUGAAAGCGGGGGACCGCAAGGCCUCGCGCGAUUGGAGCGGCCGAUAUCAGAUUAGCUAGUUGGUGGGGUAAAAGCUCACCAAGGCGACGAUCUGUAGCUGGUCUGAGAGGACGACCAGCCACACUGGAACUGAGACACGGUCCAGACUCCUACGGGAGGCAGCAGUGGGGAAUUUUGGACAAUGGGCGCAAGCCUGAUCCAGCAAUGCCGCGUGCAGGAUGAAGGCCUUCGGGUUGUAAACUGCUUUUGUACGGAGCGAAAAGGUUCUUUUUAAUACAAGGAACUCAUGACGGUACCGUAAGAAUAAGCACCGGCUAACUACGUGCCAGCAGCCGCGGUAAUACGUAGGGUGCGAGCGUUAAUCGGAAUUACUGGGCGUAAAGCGUGCGCAGGCGGUUUUGUAAGACAGAUGUGAAAUCCCCGGGCUUAACCUGGGACCUGCAUUUGUGACUGCAAGGCUAGAGUACGGUAGAGGGGGAUGGAAUUCCGCGUGUAGCAGUGAAAUGCGUAGAUAUGCGGAGGAACACCGAUGGCGAAGGCAAUCCCCUGGACCUGUACUGACGCUCAUGCACGAAAGCGUGGGGAGCAAACAGGAUUAGAUACCCUGGUAGUCCACGCCCUAAACGAUGUCAACUGGUUGUUGGGUCUUUACUGACUCAGUAACGAAGCUAACGCGUGAAGUUGACCGCCUGGGGAGUACGGCCGCAA